rnacentral:rRNA from 1 species
GAUGAACGCUAGCUACAGGCUUAACACAUGCAAGUCGUGGGGCAUCAUGAUGUAGUAAUACAUUGAUGGCGACCGGCGCACGGGUGAGUAACGCGUAUCCAACCUACCCUCCACUCAAGUAUAGGCUUCCGAAAGGGAGAUUAAUCCUUGAUAUCGUCAUUCUCUCUCCUGUUAGAAUGAUAAAAGGACAUCGUUUCGGUAGAGGAUGGGGAUGCGUUCCAUUAGGUAGUAGGUGGUUUAACAGGCCACCUAGCCGAUGAUGGAUAGGGGUUCUGAGAGGAAUAUCCCCCACACUGGUACUGAGAUACGGACCAGACUCCUACGGGAGGCAGCAGUGAGGAAUAUUGGUCAAUGGGCGCAAGCCUGAACCAGCCAUGUAGCGUGAAG